rnacentral:rRNA from 1 species
GUGGGGAAUAUUGCGCAAUGGAGGCAACUCUGACGCAGCCAUGCCGCGUGCAGGAAGAAGGCGCUACGCGUUGUAAACUGCUUUUAACCGGGAAGAAACCCCAGGACGUGUCCUGGGUUGACGGUACCGGAGGAAUAAGCACCGGCUAACUUCGUGCCAGCAGCCGCGGUAAUACGAAGGGUGCAAGCGUUAUCCGGAUUCAUUGGGUUUAAAGGGUGCGUAGGCGGAGCGUUAAGUCAGUGGUGAAAUCCUGCAGCUUAACUGUAGACUUGCCAUUGAUACUGGCGCUCUUGAGUGCGCUUGAAGUGGGCGGAAUGUGCCGUGUAGCGGUGAAAUGCUUAGAUAUGGCACAGAACACCAAUUGCGAAGGCAGCUCACUAAGGCGAUACUGACGCUGAGGCACGAAAGCGUGGGGAUCGAACAGGAUUAGAAACCCUGGUAGUCC